AUUGAACGCUGGCGGCAGGCCUAACACAUGCAAGUCGAGCGGAUGAAGGGAGCUUGCUCCUGGAUUCAGCGGCGGACGGGUGAGUAAUGCCUAGGAAUCUGCCUGGUAGCGGGGGAUAACGUCCGGAAACGGGCGCUAAUACCGCAUACGUCCUGAGGGAGAAAGUGGGGGAUCUUCGGACCUCACGCUAUCAGAUGAGCCUAGGUCGGAUUAGCUAGUUGGUGGGGUAAAGGCCUACCAAGGCGACGAUCCGUAACUGGUCUGAGAGGAUGAUCAGUCCCACUGGAACUGAGACACGGUCCAGACUCCUACGGGAGGCAGCAGUGGGGAAUAUUGGACAAUGGGCGAAAGCCUGAUCCAGCCAUGCCGCGUGUGUGAAGAAGGUCUUCGGAUUGUAAAGCACUUUAAGUUGGGAGGAAGGGCAGUAAGUUAAUACCUUGCUGUUUUGACGUUACCAACAGAAUAAGCACCGGCUAACUUCGUG
rnacentral:rRNA from 1 species